AAACCUAGACUUAUAUUAGAGACUAACGCCUACAAUGAGAGGGGGACACAAAAAAUACAGAGCUAGGGAAAAAACGGAGAAAGCAAACCUAGAGCUGAAAUACUAAAAAGAACGCCUAGGGACAAAAAAAGUACCAUCAGCGCCGUAUAAGUCCAAAAAAGACCCCCCUCCCCCUCUUGUCGUCGUCUUCCUCAACAGACCCCAUAACCCGCUGCUGCUCCUCCACCUCAACCAGACCAACAGCCGCAGAACACAACACAAACAACCCCUGCUGCUUCUUCCCAUUCACGAUAGCGUCGAACACGCCGGAAAACCUUCCCAAACCAUCACCGUUUUCAUCUCCAAACUCCACUCUAAUCCAACCCCAAAAUCUGUCCGGAAAUCAACCACAAGAACAGAUUAAAACCAACUGUUUUCCUCCAUAAUUACACCUCGCAAGGUCCGACUUUGUUAUCUCAUUUUGGUGAGUUAGAAGAGGUUAAAGUUUGAGGUCUGUUUGAAUUCUCGUCCGAUGCUCCGGUCUGCGAGUUUGGGGUGGAACGUCGCAGUUGAUCUCCGUUCCCAAAACUGAAAUUCUUGUUUUCUCUGUACACAACAAAGGUUAGAAAUCUAUCGAAGGAUUCGUUCUUUUAAUCUUCUAAUUAUUUCUUACAAUGCUUCUGUUUUUUUUUUUUUUAGAUCGAUUGAAUUUUUUUUUACUUUUUUCUUCUUUAGUUUUGUUUUUGUUUGUUUGAUCGAGAUUAAUUUUACAAGUAACUAAAAUGUAAGUUUCUCCAUCUAUGUUUUUUUAGGCUAAUAUUAUUUGACAAGUCCAUGUUAGACUUAAAACGUAAAUGGGUCAACAUUUUGAAGGAAACUCUUUUUUUUUUAUCAAUAACAUGUGUGUUAACAUUCUAUUCUUUAUUUGAUAUUAUGUUGCUUGCUUUUCAUUGUUCUGAUAUCUUGUUUCAUGAAAGAACAUUUGGUGUUAAGUUUAAAAUUAUUUUAGUAAUUUAAUAAAAGCUAAAAAUGGAGUCUUAAGUUGAAGAAACUAUGGUGUAUUAGAGCAAUUGGGCCAUGUAAUUUUUAAUGUGAGAUUGAUGAGAUUUUGGGCUUUUAAAUUUGAUAGGUCACAACGAGGAUUAUGGUUCGGG
rnacentral:lncRNA from 1 species